UACGUAGGGUGCAAGCGUUGUCCGGAAUUAUUGGGCGUAAAGAGCUCGUAGGCGGUCUGUCGCGUCGGCUGUGAAAUCCCGAGGCUCAACCUCGGGUCUGCAGUCGAUACGGGCAAACUAGAGUAUUGCAGGGGAGACUGGAAUUCCUGGUGUAGCGGUGAAAUGCGCAGAUAUCAGGAGGAACACCGGUGGCGAAGGCGGGUCUCUGGGCCGAUAUCGACGCUGAGGAGCGAAAGCGUGGGGAGCGAACAGG
rnacentral:rRNA from 1 species